rnacentral:rRNA from 1 species
AUGAUGGAGAAGUACAUGGAAACGAGGGCGAAGCAUGUGGAGGAUGAGAGGAAUAAGCCAAGGGUUGUGGAUGAGUGCUCUAUCAAAAACUGCAUCUAUCUGCUGAAAACAAUGGACAUCACACCUAUAGAAGAAAUCAAGCCUUUCCGAGUCUUCAAGAUCCCUGAGAACCGAGAGAUUUUCAUGAGUGCCAGAUCGGAGACUGCUCUUAUGUGGCUGAGAGCCGAAAUGGAAUAA